UACGUAGGGGGCAAGCGUUGUCCGGAUUUAUUGGGUUUAAAGGGUGCGUAGGCGGAUAAUUAAGUCAGUGCUGAAAUAUCCCGGCUUAACCGGGAGGGUGGCAUUGAUACUGCGGGGCUAGAGUACAGAUGAGGUAGGCGGAAUUGACGGUGUAGCGGUGAAAUGCUUAGAUAUCGUCAAGAACACCUAUAGCGAAGGCAGCUUACUAGGCUGUAACUGACGCUGAGGCACGAAAGUGUGGGGAUCAAACAGG
rnacentral:rRNA from 1 species